rnacentral:lncRNA from 1 species
AGAUGAAGGCAGGAACCUUCUGAGACAAGUGGGAGAGAUCAGAGGAACACGUAAGCCCCUUAAGGAUGGCUUUCCAUCCCUGAGGGUGCUUUCUAGAGGACACCCAAUAGUGAGGUCGCCGGGGGUGGGGGUGGGAACAGAAGCUCCCCCUGACUUGGGAAGAUUACAUAUGAAGAAGUGGAUUGACUGGUUUCUUUAUAUGACAUGAAGGUGGGAUUUUUUUCAAAUCAAUCUCUUAUGACUAGGAUCAGGGGAUCAUUUCAUGGAAAGCUAUGGAACCCCAAUAAUCAGAGUCCAAAACUCAAGUCUGACACCUCCCAGUUCUGUCUCUAAGUACAGUGUGCAGUUUGCAUGUGCUUCUCUUGAAUUCUCUUCAAGCAAGGAACUGUGGCACCACAGCCUACUGAGUGAGAUCACAAAAGCAGAGAGAGAGAGAGAGACUUUCUGUUGAUCUUAACAGCAGUGGCCUGUCAAGCCAUCCCAAUGAGAUGAAUUUGAACUCUGAUGCUGUCAGUCACCCAUUGCUAACUCACUCCAACCUGGCAAGCUCUCCAAACGUAACCGUCCUCUUCCAGCAAGGGGCUCAUCCAGUAAGUGGGGAUGUCUCACAGCCAAAGGCACAGCGCUCUGGCAAGACCCUCGAAGUUUCCACUUCUGCUGUCGGUCUAAUCCAUGUCACCAGAUUUCUUUGGCUUUAAUGUCAUGGCUUUCAGUAUCACUGACCCAGAGCUUGCUAAUAUCUAAGAUCAGCGUAUCA